GAGGUUUGAAAACCUCUGCAAAAUAUUUUGUGAAGGGUAAAAACCCCCGCUAAACGAAAUUAAAACUUCCGCAAUUUAGUUUUUUUUUUUUUUUAUAGUGCUUCCAAAUACAACUUUCACAUUCUACUAUCUCCACAAUUUUCUCUUUCCCAUUAACUAUUUCUUUCACAACCUGAAAAUAUUAUCAUCGUCAAAACGAUUCGUCGAUUAUAUUUUGUCAAAAUCAGGGUCAAGCCCCGACAGGGUAAGAAACUCACUCACAAGCUCACCCUUUUUUUUUUCUCCGCUCCCAAUUCGGCUCAACACGACGCCGCUUUGCAAAAGGGGUAGUGACCCAUAACGUAAAAAUGUCGAUGAACCCUUCUGCGAGAUCGCACUGUAAGAGGCCCUUCACAUCAGAGAAUUCGGCUUGGCCUCCGAGCAUAAUAGUGGAAUAAUAUGACGGGCAAAAGAAUAAACAAGAGCAAAAGGUGAUCAAAAGGGAGCCAAAUUCGCUCGGAAGAUGUAGCAAUUAUUAGUUGUUUUGGGAGAUUUUGGUUAGACCACAGACAAGAUGCAAUGGAAGCUCUCCCAAGAAGGACUCCAAGGAGCAUGUCUAGAGGGAAGACUUUUAGUCCUUCAUCUUUAUCCUUAUUUUGCAUUUUAUUAUGUGAUUUUCCUAAGUUGACUUAGGUGACUCAACCUUAGUUGACUUGUUGACCUUUCCCUAGGUUUGCCUUUUUUUACUAGAGUUGACUUGACUUAAGCUAACACGCUAAUAUAUUUUUAUAUGUUUUGUAGCAAUUAGGUUAAGAAGGCCUGCAUGAUGUGGUACAACCCUAGUGGUAAAUGGAGAUGAUGCAGAGCAUAGGUGGAGGAGAUUGGAAAGCAUUAAGUAAAAAACAUAAAGUAAAUGUAUCUUGUACCUUUUAUCUCCCUUGUCUUUAUCACCUUUUAGCCUUUUGUAGAGACAUUCAUUGUCUAUUUUUGGUGCUUGUCCGAAAUCUUUUUAAGGUUUCCUACCAUCCUUUUAGUUCAUGCCACCUCCAGAAGAUGCUUCUAGAAUGUAAGGUUUUGUAUAUGCUAAGUAGCCUUUUUGAACUUUUGUUUAUUUCCUAUAGGCCCCUAAAACUCUCUAUAUAAAGGGUGCUCAUAAGCU